CAGCAGCCGCGGUAAUACGGAGGGAGCUAGCGUUGUUCGGAAUUACUGGGCGUAAAGCGCACGUAGGCGGCUUUGUAAGUUAGAGGUGAAAGCCUGGAGCUCAACUCCAGAACUGCCUUUAAGACUGCAUCGCUUGAAUCCAGGAGAGGUGAGUGGAAUUCCGAGUGUAGAGGUGAAAUUCGUAGAUAUUCGGAAGAACACCAGUGGCGAAGGCGGCUCACUGGACUGGUAUUGACGCUGAGGUGCGAAAGCGUGGGGAGCAAACAGGAUUAGAUACCCCCGUAGUCCCUGUCUCUUAUAC
rnacentral:rRNA from 1 species